rnacentral:rRNA from 1 species
GAUCCUGGCUCAGGAUGAACGCUAGCUACAGGCUUAACACAUGCAAGUCGAGGGGCAGCGGGAUUGAAGCUUGCUUCAAUUGCCGGCGACCGGCGCACGGGUGAGUAAUGCGUAUCCGAACCUUCCGUACACUCAGGGAUAGCCUUUCGAAAGAAAGAUUAAUACCUGAUGGUAUGAUGAGAUUGCAUGAUAGCAUCAUUAAAGAUUUAUCGGUGUACGAUGGGG